rnacentral:lncRNA from 1 species
GCUCCAGCCCUUGGCCCCCUCCACAUCCUUAACUCUGCCCUCCUGCUCACCGUGGGGACAUCCUCUGGGAGUGUCUCCUUUUCAUCUUCUCCAAGAAAUGUAUCUCUCUGCCUGUCUCAGGCUUUGGCUGUGCCUCCUGCACUUUGACCGUUGUUUAAAUACGAUCCUGGGUAAAAUCUGGUAAAAUUGUGCCUGCUUCCAGAGACCGCAAACUCCCUCCGCUCCUGGAAUCUGGGAUUUGAAAGCUCCCCCGGUGUUUCUCAUCAUCUUACCAGCAGGUUUGAGCAAUACUGGGCUAGAAGGUGGUGAGGGAGGAGAGCCCGGGUUUGUUGUGAGUCGGGGCUCUUAUCCUGAGGAUGCCAUUCAUUCACUGAAUCAACCAAUCCUUCUCUCUUUGCUUUUUUUCUUUCUUUUGAAAGCAUCUUCAAAGCCUGCUUUGUUGCUGGCGCUGUUCUGGGAACCGGGAUUUUGUUUGUGAUAAUUGAUGAGGAAACGUUCUCCCAAGCAGGAGCAUCUAUCUGAUAAUUGGGGAAGGAACGGCUGAAUUAGGUAACGUCCGUUUGUAGCCGCUGAUGUGUGGAUGUUGCUGGGACGCUGACUCAAACAAUGGAUAUUGAGAAAGUAUUUUGAGAAUGAGCAGAGAAAUCUAAAUAUGGGCUAGGUAGAAGGUUUGUGGAAAUCAGUGAAAAUGAAAUGAAAUGAAAACAAGAAAAUAUUUAUUCAGCGCUUGCUACAGUAAGGGAGUCAGCCACUAUCAAGGGGUUUGGCAGAGACCAAAAGGCAAGCAAAGGAGUGUGAACGCUUUAUAGUGGAAAAAAGAAAUCUUCAGGAACAGGCUGACCACAGGCGGGAAAUACACCUGCAACGCAUCCAUCACAGCUGACAGAAGAAUAGAACAAUGUGAUGCCCGGAGCCUGUCAUGCCUGGAGACCAACAUCCCUGGCCCCCCUCAUUGCCCAUUUUCCCUCUGUAACUGCCUCAAGAUUCUCUAAACCUUGAAGAUGGGUUUUGUGAGACAUUAGUCACCUAUCUUGUGAUUAGCCGGCUAAUCUAAUUAAACUUCCU